AAUGGGUCAGCGACUUAUAUUCUGUAGCAAGGUUAACCGAAUAGGGGAGCCGAAGGGAAACCGAGUCUUAACUGGGCGUUAAGUUGCAGGGUAUAGACCCGAAACCCGGUGAUCUAGCCAUGGGCAGGUUGAAGGUUGGGUAACACUAACUGGAGGACCGAACCGACUAAUGUUGAAAAAUUAGCGGAUGACUUGUGGCUGGGGGUGAAAGGCCAAUCAAACCGGGAGAUAGCUGGUUCUCCCCGAAAGCUAUUUAGGUAGCGCCUCGUGAAUUCAUCUCCGGGGGUAGAGCACUGUUUCGGCAAGGGGGUCAUCCCGACUUACCAACCCGAUGCAAACUGCGAAUACCGGAGAAUGUUAUCACGGGAGACACACGGCGGGUGCUAACGUCCGUCGUGAAGAGGGAAACAACCCAGACCGCCAGCUAAGGUCCCAAAGUCAUGGUUAAGUGGGAAACGAUGUGGGAAGGCCCAGACAGCCAGGAUGUUGGCUUAGAAGCAGCCAUCAUUUAAAGAAAGCGUAAUAGCUCACUGGUCGAGUCGGCCUGCGCGGAAGAUGUAACGGGGCUAAACCAUGCACCGAAGCUGCGGCAGCGACGCUGAUGCGUUGUUGGGUAGGGGAGCGUUCUGUAAGCCUGUGAAGGUGUGCUGUGAGGCAUGCUGGAGGUAUCAGAAGUGCGAAUGCUGACAUAAGUAACGAUAAAGCGGGUGAAAAGCCCGCUCGCCGGAAGACCAAGGGUUCCUGUCCAACGUUAAUCGGGGCAGGGUGAGUCGACCCCUAAGGCGAGGCCGAAAGGCGUAGUCGAUGGGAAACAGGUUAAUAUUCCUGUACUUGGUGUUACUGCGAAGGGGGGACGGAGAAGGCUAUGUUGGCCGGGCGACGGUUGUCCCGGUUUAAGCGUGUAGGCUGGUUUUCCAGGCAAAUCCGGAAAAUCAAGGCUGAGGCGUGAUGACGAGGCACUACGGUGCUGAAGCAACAAAUGCCCUGCUUCCAGGAAAAGCCUCUAAGCAUCAGGUAACAUCAAAUCGUACCCCAAACCGACACAGGUGGUCAGGUAGAGAAUACCAAGGCGCUUGAGAGAACUCGGGUGAAGGAACUAGGCAAAAUGGUGCCGUAACUUCGGGAGAAGGCACGCUGAUAUGUAGGUGAGGUCCCUCGCGGAUGGAGCUGAAAUCAGUCGAAGAUACCAGCUGGCUGCAACUGUUUAUUAAAAACACAGCACUGUGCAAACACGAAAGUGGACGUAUACGGUGUGACGCCUGCCCGGUGCCGGAAGGUUAAUUGAUGGGGUUAGCGGUAACGCGAAGCUCUUGAUCGAAGCCCCGGUAAACGGCGGCCGUAACUAUAACGGUCCUAAGGUAGCGAAAUUCCUUGUCGGGUAAGUUCCGACCUGCACGAAUGGCGUAAUGAUGGCCAGGCUGUCUCCACCCGAGACUCAGUGAAAUUGAACUCGCUGUGAAGAUGCAGUGUACCCGCGGCAAGACGGAAAGACCCCGUGAACCUUUACUAUAGCUUGACACUGAACAUUGAGCCUUGAUGUGUAGGAUAGGUGGGAGGCUUUGAAGUGUGGACGCCAGUCUGCAUGGAGCCGACCUUGAAAUACCACCCUUUAAUGUUUGAUGUUCUAACGUUGACCCGUAAUCCGGGUUGCGGACAGUGUCUGGUGGGUAGUUUGACUGGGGCGGUCUCCUCCUAAAGAGUAACGGAGGAGCACGAAGGUUGGCUAAUCCUGGUCGGACAUCAGGAGGUUAGUGCAAUGGCAUAAGCCAGCUUGACUGCGAGCGUGACGGCGCGAGCAGGUGCGAAAGCAGGUCAUAGUGAUCCGGUGGUUCUGAAUGGAAGGGCCAUCGCUCAACGGAUAAAAGGUACUCCGGGGAUAACAGGCUGAUACCGCCCAAGAGUUCAUAUCGACGGCGGUGUUUGGCACCUCGAUGUCGGCUCAUCACAUCCUGGGGCUGAAGUAGGUCCCAAGGGUAUGGCUGUUCGCCAUUUAAAGUGGUACGCGAGCUGGGUUUAGAACGUCGUGAGACAGUUCGGUCCCUAUCUGCCGUGGGCGCUGGAGAACUGAGGGGGGCUGCUCCUAGUACGAGAGGACCGGAGUGGACGCAUCACUGGUGUUCGGGUUGUCAUGCCAAUGGCACUGCCCGGUAGCUAAAUGCGGAAGAGAUAAGUGCUGAAAGCAUCUAAGCACGAAACUUGCC
rnacentral:rRNA from 1 species